UACGAAGGGGGCUAGCGUUGUUCGGAUUUACUGGGCGUAAAGCGCACGUAGGCGGAUUGGUCAGUUAGGGGUGAAAUCCUGGAGCUCAACUCCAGAACUGCCUUUAAUACUGCCAGUCUCGAGUCCGGAAGAGGUAAGUGGAACUCCUAGUGUAGAGGUGGAAUUCGUAGAUAUUAGGAAGAACACCAGUGGCGAAGGAGGCUUACUGGUCCGGUACUGACGCUGAGGUGCGAAAGCGUGGGGAGCAAACAGG
rnacentral:rRNA from 1 species